rnacentral:misc_RNA from 1 species
AUGUGCGACCCAGUGUCGUGAUGCACAACUACCAUGCAGCCGAAUCGGGACUGAAUAGGUUAUUUGGAUCCGAUUCUGGGAAUACAAAAGAAGGGCGAAACGGUGUUGUCGGCGAGCGUCACCUGACAGAUCAUGUGCAACCAACUAGUGGUAAUGACUUCGAGUUGAACAAGUUCUUCGGACCAGGAUCCAAGUUCGGAAAGCGAUGGGGAAAGGGUGGCGUUGCUGGAGACCGGUACCGAGGCAAGCCUGAGCAGCAGCAGAGUGAAAUGUCCUCCGUUAGAAGGAAAACCCGGCAAGCCGACCCCAGUGUUUCACCACCGGAUGGCGUUGGCAAGUAAGAAAAGAAGUGUCUGGCUUUUAAUGGAGCUUUUAUGAUUCUCCUGUGCCUGUUUCUUAGCUAGCUCCCAAGCAUGAAAAAUACAGAAUAUCCCAUAAAGCAGACACCAAUUUUAUCCUUUUAUGGCAUUAUGCCUUUUCUCAAUCUUUCCUCUUAAAAUUGCUUUUGCUGUCUUAAGGGGGGAAUAAAGGAGACUACCAGAAUCAGACCAAAU